GGCUCGUUGGUCCAGUGGUAUAAUGCUCGCUUCAGAUUUGAGAAGAGAAACCAAAUAAAACCCACCUUGCAUGGCUUGGUGGUCUAGGGGUAUAAUGCUUGCUUCGGGUUUGAGAGGUCCCGGGUUCAAAUCCCGGAUGAGCCC